ACGGGUCUACCUUUAACUUUCAUCACAGCCCACCAAUCAUUUUUGUCACGACGCUUGCUCGGGUAUGAAGCAUAAACGACUUGUGUUGCUUGAGAGGCUAAUACAAAUGGCUCGUACUUACUGUAUCUACGCUUGUUGUUGACAUCGACCAUUCUAUACUGUCUAUGCACCUUGGUGUCGGUAUUUGGUGUUGGAUCAAACCAGUCACAUUUGAAAAGCACAGUCCGCUUAAUUGGUAACCCUGGAUACUCCAACCGCAACACCUCAACCAACAGUCCAUAGUAGUCACUUUCU
rnacentral:lncRNA from 1 species